CCCUCCAGUGAUGAAAUGAAUACCGCCCCAGGCUGAUUGAUUCCAGUGACUGAUAGGUUGUUCUGAGUAAUG
rnacentral:snoRNA from 1 species